CCAAUAAAGUUGUAUUUUAGUAAACAGAGGAUAUCAUCUAUUUAUUUAUUCGUGGUUUGGGUGGGGAGGCAACUGGAAAUUGUUGUAAAAUAAACAAACUAGUACAAAAAAAUGAGCUUCAAAGCCUCUUUUUGUGUUUUUAUGGUCAUCGCUGUGUUUCUUUUUCAAGCAGGUGAUGCAGUCCCAUUUCUCAAUGAAUCUCCUCAACAAGUAGCCAAAAUCCCAAGUAAAUGGGAUCCCAAGGAAAGCAAGACUCACGCAGGAGGGAGUAUUUCACCUCGUGGCCCUGCUUGUUAUGUAUCAUGUGGUUGAAUUAGACGGGUGGACUGUGGAAAAUAAUAUAUCUUAUAAUAUUAAUUAAUAUAUUACUUUUUAAAGUGAAGAAAGUUUUGUGUUUUGGAUUAUUAUUAUUGGUUGUGAUAUUAGAUUUUACUUAAUUGAUACUUAUUCUUAAUCAUCGCUUGAUAUGUAAUAUUGGUUAUCAAAAUAUACUCUAAGACUGGUUUGAGAUCUAAUUCAAAGUAGAUGGUGUUGAGUGA